rnacentral:misc_RNA from 1 species
GAUGAAGAACGUAGCGAAAUGCGAUACUUGGUGUGAAUUGCAGAAUCCCGUGAACCAUCGAGUCUUUGAACGCAAGUUGCGCCCGAAGCCACUAGGCCGAGGGCACGCCUGCCUGGGCGUCACACGCCGUUGCCCCCCCAUCUACUCCUUCGGGAUUGCGGGGGGGCGGAUGAUGGCCUCCCGUGCGCCUAGCCGCGCGGUUGGCAUAAAUGCCAAGUCCUCGGCGACGCACGCCACGACAAUCGGUGGUUGCGAAACCUCGGUUGCCCGUCGUGUGCGGUCGUCGCGCAUCGAGGGCUCGAAAAAAUUGCCGGGCUCCGGCUCGGCUUUCAACGCGACCCCAGGUCAGGCGGGGUUACCCGCUGAAUUUAAGCAUAUCAAUAAGCGGAGGA